GCCUGGAUAGCUCAGCUGGUUACAGCGUGGCGCUGAUAAUGCCAAGGUUGCAGGUUCAAUCAUUUUGGUGCG